rnacentral:piRNA from 1 species
UUUGCGUGAUAUAGAAAUGAAUAGACUAU